AAUGGUGGAGAAUGAAAAGUUUUAAAUACGAUGCAGUCUCUGUUGUCUUCUGAUAGAGCACAAGUGGACCAAGACAUCCGUCUUCUGCUGGGCCUGGGAAGGGAGAAACCCGGCAGUCUGGAGGAGGAGAGGGGCGUCCCGGGAUAAGAGUGCUUCCUAAAUAGUUUUCAGCCGAGCUGUUAUGUUUCCCAGGGGUUGCAUCUUCAAUGCCUGCACCAUCAGUGCCUGCACCACCAGUGCCUGCACCAUCAGUGCCUGCACGGUCAGUGCCUGCACGGUCAGUGCCUGCACCGUCAGUACCUGCACCAUCAAUGCCUGCCUGCACCGUCAGUGCCUGCACGGUCAGUGCCUGCACCGUCAAUGCCUGCACCGUCAGUGCCUGCACCGUCAAUGCCUGCACCGUCAGUGCCUGCAUUUUAGUUGACCUGGUUCUUGGCUUUCUGAAGAAGAGUCUUCCAAUUUUCAUCAACAUUACUUGCUUAUAACUUCAAGACCAGUUGGUGCUGGUCUUCUCAUGGUCACUUUAACUUUGUUCUAGGCCUUCAAACAAUCCCUUUACUGUAUUUUAGAAGUCAUAAUUUGUGUUCAACCAGCUAUCCAUGGGCAAAUCUGUUUUCUUCAGGUAAAUAUCCCAUAUGGGUGUUUUCUAGUGUUUGUUUUGCAGGGUCUAUGUUUGAGAAAAGCACAGGCAGCAGAAGCUGGUUAUGUAGAAAUGAGAGGACAUUUUCCCUUUCAAUUCGGCUUCCUUCCUUCACAGUUCAGUUAAAAUAAAAAUCUUCUCAGUCAAGAACUAAGAAGUUAUGAGAAUCUGACCACAAAAAGCAUUGUCAGAAAUACCAUUUUUGAACUAUCAUAAAGAAAUGAUCUAGAUGUUUAAAUUGAUUUAAACAUUGAACAGUGCAUAGAUGUAUAAAACAUUGUUGUAUAUAA
rnacentral:sRNA from 1 species